GAGAAGAGGAAGCUCUCUAGUGUUUCUUCUUAAAAGGCACUGAUAUCAUUCAGGAGAGCUUAAUCCUCACAUCCUAAUCACCUCGCAGUGGCCCCACCUCCUAACGCCAUCACAUUGAGGUGUGAGAUUUUAACACAGGAAUUUUGCAGAGACACAUUCAGUCCAUAGCACGUGAAUACACUUGCUGCCUACUAACUCCUUUGUUCUUACCCAGCCCCUACCUCAGUCUUUACUUGGCUUUUCUUGUGGAAUCAUUCAUUUCCCACAAAACAAUCUGCAACUGAUCUGGUGUUGACUUUGCACCCUGUUGUGUUUCUAUCCAAAGAAUCCUUUUCCCAUCACACACAAUCACCUGAUUUACACAUUUGCCCAAUUAUUCAUUUAUCAAAAAUCAAGACCCUGGGCCUACCUUGUGCCAACACUGCUCUGGACACCGAGUCCAUGGUGGCAAACUGCAUGGCCUCUGCUGUCACAGAGCUUACUGCAUUGGUGGAGACAGGUGGCCAACAAACAAAGGUAUACUUAUAAUUACAAAUUACACAAAGUGCUUUGAAAAAAAAAAGCAAGCUGCCAUAUGAGAGAAUAACAAAGAAGAUGAAAUUCAGUUUGGAGCCAGUCUAGGACAUGACACCAAUUCUAGAACUUAAAACAGGAGCAGGGCUAUCCAGGCAAAGGAGGGAGAGGAAACUUUUUGGCAGAGCCCCACCUAUGGGAAGCCCAGAGAUAGAAAAGAAGUUGGAGUGUUUUAGGGAUUGAAAGAAAGGCAAUGUGACAGAGACACCAAGAGAAUAGCAAUAAGAGAUGAAGAUAGGGACUGGAAGGGGAGGGGAGGUGAUGGCAGAAUAUCCAAAGCUUUCUGAAAAGGAAACCUACAGAAGGGUUUUAACAUGGGAGAGACAUGUUCUGACUUAUGUUGUAAAGUUCAUUUUGCUGUGGGAAGAAAGGAUUAGAGGCUGAUAAGAAUGGAAGCAGAAGGAGACUAAUUAGAAAACUAUUGUUACAUUCCCAAGGAAUAAAGGUAGCUUGGACCAGGGUGAAGAUGUGUGAUGGAGAAGAUCAUAAAGUCUCUCUAGAGCUGGGCUCAGGUAAAAUGCACCCUUUGCCUGUUUUUGUGAAGUUUUAUUGCUACACAACCACUCUUGUUCAUGUCCAUAUUGUCUAUGGCCACUUUCUCUCUGGAAUGGGAGAGAUAAAUACUUACCACAGGGUAAGUAUUUUAAACUUUUCUUUGAUAUACAAUGGAAAUCUCUCUUUUGAUCAGCUUAAGGCCAAAUAAGGAGGACUUUAGAAGGACCACGGAAAAAUUGAAUGAAUGGGGAAAAAAGCAAAGUUGAAUUGCUACUGGAGUUAAAAGGAGCUACUGAUGGUGGAAAGAAGUCAGGUCCGCUGGUGUUUUACCAUAACAAAUAUCUGAAGUAAUCUCCAUACCUUCAGAUCUCCUUGUGGCUGCAAUAGCUCUGCAUAUGGAACUAGCCAUCUACCAAAUUAUUUCCUUUCUCAACAAACAUCACUCACAGCCCUAUUAUGACUGGAAGUCUUUUUAAUAAAACUGUCUGUGAAGAUUGCAAAAUAAACCUAUGGAGCAGCGUCCUCACUACUUCCAUCUGUUUUUCCACAAAUUUCUCUCCCUUUUCCACAGAGCAGGUUUGUAUUUCCAAGAAGGUGUAUCUUCAGGAGUUCUAAUAAAGAACAGCUGAAUGCAGCAAUCUUUGCCAUCAAUACAGCCAACCUUCAAGGAAUCACUUUUCACAAAUGAUCUGACGUGGAGUGUAUACAUAAACAUUAUCUAUGAAGACAAAAAAGGACAAGAAGAGCAGGUAUCUAUCUCAUGGCACACUGGACAGUGGGACUAGAAGAAGCAGAUUAUUCUGGGGUCGACUUUGCAAAUGCAACACAUUAUUAGGGAAACUGGGAUCCAGUUACUGAGUGGCCUAAAUGACCAGAAAUCCCAAAGAUCCACCUAUUACUGUUGACAGAGAAGAAAAGUCAUGAAAGUUCCUUUCAGUCCUGUGAUUGCUGGGCACUGAUUCUGCAUUGAAGAUGUGUUUCUAGAUGUGAGUGGCCAUACUUUAUUGCUUGUGGCUUAUGGAAUGGAUAACCUCCGUGGGCUCCAUUUCCUAAUCUUUAAGAAGAAAGAAGAGGAAGAAGGAAGAAAGUCAAAAGGAUGAAAGAACAAAAGGAGCUCCCCACAGAAAGACAGACUCUUUUGCCAGCACAUUUAAGAAUCUAAAUGAGGCCAAGUGCCAAGCAGAUAAAGGGACUCUACUUGCUGCAUAGUAAAUAAAACGGAGGCAGGAGGACGCCUGCAUCAAACAAUACUUUCUGAGGGGAUGACAACAAGAUUUCAGAGAAUUCAGAUCCUGACUUUCCUGCCUCACCAGGUACAACCCAAGUCACCAGAGCUCAUAAAAGAUGUGUGUGCUGUCGCAUCUAUGUGAAGUAUUUCCAUGACCCGAGCAUUGACUACAGGACUGUGCUGGAGGAAACUGGAUCAAGGUACCAAGACAGAUACAGGAGGGUCUCCAGAAACCCUAGAGCUGAAUGGAACCCUGUCUGGAAAACAUACACUGGAAACUAGGCCGAGGAUUAUCCAAAGGGUGGUUGAAAUCAAGGGUUAAAGUUUGGCUCAAGAUAAGGAAGAAUCUACUAAUAAUUAAAACUGACCAUCCAAAAGAUGGGUGCCGUUGACAACACAGAGAGAAGAGAGAACCUAAACAAUGAAACAAGUCCCCGGCCCACGUGCUGUCAGACACUGGAGAAAAGAACAAAACCAAAGAAGAGCCACUGAGCAAACACAAUGGCCUUGUCUUCUACCUUUCUUGUGGCACAAUGCAGGACUGGACAGCACUGUCCUCCCCGCCCCCAUCUCCUUCCCUCCCUCUACUCUCAUCCCCCUCCACCAGCCUUCCUGCUCCCAAAGCACAUUACUGACUAGCAGCUUGCCAGUCCAGAUUGUAGUUUUAAUCCACCAACUAGUAUUGCAGCUCAUAGAAUGGCUUUGGAUUUAUGAAACAGGCUGAGAGGAAAUAAAGUACCCUAGUUUGUAGAUAAUAAAAGCUAAGAGUGGUGCAUCCAGGGAGAGAGGUGGGGUGCCAGGGGUUCUUAGGAAGGUAGUGGUACCACCUACUGCCAGAGUCUCUUUUGAAUUGGCUUUAUCCAGGAGUCCCAAAAGCCCUUUAAACUACUUCAUGGUAGCCUUUGACAGAGAACUCUUUGGCAGUGACUUGGAGAAGGUUUAUGAAGACAGUGCUCAGGCUUUGGUCAUGAUACAGGCAGAUUGGGGAUGGAGUGGUACAUGUUUGAUUGCAGUGUGUGUUGAGGGGCAAGGGGGCAGGUCUUGGUACAAUGACAACUAGCACGAGACCUUGAACUCAACAUGGAUUUUAAAAGUGUUUGUUUAAUGCAUGAAUAAAAUAAUGCUCAUGAUAUUUUGUGGUCUUUAGUGACCAAUCAUAGUAGAUGUCUUAGAAUUACCAAGCUCUAAGGAAUACUGAAACCCAGUCUAAUAAACUCAGUAAAAGCAAGAGUGGACUCUAAUGUAAACUGUGGAUUUUUGGAUGUACCUCUCUGGUGGGGAAUGUUGAUAAUGGAGGAGGCUAGGCUUGUGUGGGGGUGGCGAACACAUGGAAAAUCUCUGUAUCUUUUGCUUAUUUUUCUGUGAACCUAAAACUGAUCUAAAAAAAAAAGUAUAUAAAAAAUUCAUAGCCACAUAAAUUGGCAGUCAGAUCUGGUGAUUCAGCUGAACAUUUAUCUAAGUAUAUAGAAAAGAACACAUAUUUUCUGAUGUUUGAAAAAAUUGCUGUUUUACCUUGAAACUAAUAAAACAAAAUUGGCACAACUUAUUUUUUAAAUGCAGUAAAAAUACUUAGUCUGUCCUACAGCCUAUAUUCAUCUACUGUGGACAUCAUUUCCUUGCCAUGAAAUUUCCGUGGAAUCUAUAGGAGGCAAACCUGGGAUUAAAGCCUGAAUUUGCCAUUUAAUAAUGAGAAAACCUUGGAAAAGUCUGUCUAUCUGGAUGACCGUCAGUCCAGCAGAGACAUAGAAAUGUGCCAUAAAUAACCGAAUGCAUCACAAAAACAGAACAGGAGCUAUGAGUGUUACUGAAGGCUUGAUUUGAGUUCUCACCUGAGGAAUGGACACCCCCUAGCCCACUCCCACAGUUCACACUGGUUCUUCUACCUACAAGCUGAGUCUUCACUUUCUUAAAAGGGGACGUGGACAUGAAUUGACUAGGCCACACAUUUAUCAAUUUGAAGCCAUUACUUUGCUUCACAGAUGUAGAAGCCCCAUUUCUCGACAAAGAAGAGGAAAGAAAGAGGAAAAAUGAAGGAAUAAAUGAUAGAAGUAAAGAAGAAUGUAAAUAAACUUUCUGGUCUACACAGAAUAAAAGGAUCCAGUCUAGCCAACUAGACAAAAGUUAGUUUCUCAAUACUAACAUGCCUGGUGCCUCUCUUCUGUUUCCAGCCCUGGAAUAAGAAGUUUCACUUUUUCAUUUCUUCACCCAAAAUAAAACUUGAACUUCUCACUUCCUCAUCUUUUCAUUUGCAGAUCUCAAAAGCAGCCUCUUCCACAUCUACCCUUGGGGCAUGUCUGGCCCACUCCCCUACGGCCUUGAAUGUCACAAGAAGUUCUUAAAUGUGUUCAGUUGCAAAUAUAUUUUACCACUUUAUUUGCAGCUCCCGCACAUUCUUGGAUCUCAAAAGCCACUUUAGCACCAACUAGGGGCUGUUCUGAGGUCCGGACAGCUGUUGCAAGGUGGUAUCAUAGGUUCUCAAGCCCUGGCUAAGAGUAACUUAACAGCAAGUAAUCAUUCCAUGAUGCUGAAUCUCACCUGUUAGGCACAUGCCACAC